ACUCUGAUGCAGCGAUGCCGCGUGAGUGAAGAAGGCCUUUGGGUUGUAAAGCUCUUUCGUCGGGGAAGAAAAUGACUGUACCCGAAUAAGAAGGUCCGGCUAACUUCGUGCCAGCAGCCGCGGUAAUACGAAGGGACCUAGCGUAGUUCGGAAUUACUGGGCUUAAAGAGUUCGUAGGUGGUUGAAAAAGUUAGUGGUGAAAUCCCAGAGCUUAACUCUGGAACUGCCAUUAAAACUUUUCAGCUAGAGUAUGAUAGAGGAAAGCAGAAUUUCUAGUGUAGAGGUGAAAUUCGUAGAUAUUAGAAAGAAUACCAAUUGCGAAGGCAGCUUUCUGGAUCAUUACUGACACUGAGGAACGAAAGCAUGGGUAGCGAAGAGGAUUAGAUACCCUCGUAGUCCAUGCCGUAAACGAUGUGUGUUAGACGUUGGAAAUUUAUUUUCAGUGUCGCAGCGAAAGCGAUAAACACACCGCCUGGGGAGUACGACCGCAAGGUUAAAACUCAAAUGAAUUGACGGGGACCCGCACAAGUAGUGGAGCAUGUGGUUUAAUUCGAAGAUACGCGCAGAACCUUACCAACACUUGACAUGUUCGUCGCGACUCUAAGAGAUUAGAGUUUUCGGUUCGGCCGGACGAAACACAGGUGCUGCAUGGCUGUCGUCAGCUCGUGUCGUGAGAUGUUGGGUUAAGUCCCGCAACGAGCGCAACCCUCACUUUUAGUUGCCAUCAUUUAGUUGGGCACUCUGAAAGAACUGCCAGUGAUAAGCUGGAGGAAGGUGGGGAUGACGUCAAGUCCUCAUGGCCCUUACGUGUUGGGCUACACACGUGCUAC
rnacentral:rRNA from 1 species